UACGAAGGGGGCUAGCGUUGUUCGGAAUUACUGGGCGUAAAGCGCACGUAGGCGGCUUUGUAAGUUAGAGGUGAAAGCCCGGGGCUCAACUCCGGAACUGCCUUUAAGACUGCAUCGCUUGAAUCCAGGAGAGGUGAGUGGAAUUCCGAGUGUAGAGGUGAAAUUCGUAGAUAUUCGGAAGAACACCAGUGGCGAAGGCGGCUCACUGGACUGGUAUUGACGCUGAGGUGCGAAAGCGUGGGGAGCAAACAGG
rnacentral:rRNA from 1 species